UACGUAGGGUGCAAGCGUUAAUCGGAAUUACUGGGCGUAAAGCGUGCGCAGGCGGUGAUGUAAGACAGAUGUGAAAUCCCCGGGCUCAACCUGGGAACUGCAUUUGUGACUGCAUCGCUGGAGUACGGCAGAGGGGGAUGGAAUUCCGGGUGGAGCGGUGAAAUGCGUAGAGAUCCGGAGGAACACCGACGGCGCAGGCAGCGUCCUGGCCGCUUGCUGACACUGAGGCACGAAAGCUGGGGGAGCAAACAGG
rnacentral:rRNA from 1 species